rnacentral:tRNA from 3 species
GGGCAGGUGGCGGAACAGGCAGACGCGGCGGCCUCAAAAGCCGCUGGGCAUUGCGCCCGUAAGGGUUCGACUCCCUUCCUGCCCA